UUCUUCUUUCUCUCCACCGCCAUUACCCUCCUCUGGUUCUUCAUCAUCAAUCCACUCCUCUAGCUCUUCUUGUCGAUUCCCUUUUGCUCGUUGUCAACCCAUGCCUCUUCACUGCUGCUGGUUCGUCCGUCGCUGGUGUCCAGGUUUGCCGUGGACUCACCGUUGACGAGGUCGGAGUCACGAGUUCGUCGUUCCCCUGUUCUUUGUUUCACCAUCGAUUCCUUCUUCUCCCUUCCUCGUUGGCAUCAUUUAGGUGCUGGUGAGUGAAGCUCGUCCUUCGUCCUCCUCCUUUGUGCAACAGCAUCUCUUUCCUCUUCCACCACUGAGUUAUGUCGGGCUCCCUCUCCCCUGUACAGCUCCUGCAAAUCUUCUCCCUUCUUGCUGUGCUGUCUAUGAUUAAGUUCCGUUGGUCUUUGGUGCGCCAUGAUACACCUAACUAGUAUAGUGCUUAUGGGAGGUGCUAGUCCCGUGCGCAGGCCAACACACAUGGAACAGAGGGAUGAUUAUUCGUGAGCAUUGUACUCAUGCUUAUUCGUGGGUCUCAUGCCUGUACUUGACUCGUGACUCUAGCUGCAUUUGUUUUAUGGCUUUUAACCGUGUUUGAUUGGUUACUUACUCUUAUGAACUAUGUGUUCACGCUUGGUUAGUUACCCUCAUGGAUUGUAUGUCCACACUUGUUAUUCAUUCUGAUAAAGCUCUCCUAAAUCUAAACUUAAAAUUCAUUAUUUUUA